rnacentral:misc_RNA from 1 species
GUGAAUCAUCGAAUUUUUGAGCGCAAAUUGCACUCUCUGGUAUUCCGGAGAGUAUGCCUGUUUGAGGGUCAGUUUAAAUAAAAUUAGGUGUGGUAGUUGCCUUUCGUGGUGAUGCACCGGUCUUGGGUCGUCUUGCCUUCGGUUCAGUGACCUAAUCUUUUGCAUGGUUUUUUUGAACGUAUUUAAUUGAUUUUACGUACGUUUGCGAUCAAGAAUAGUAGU